rnacentral:rRNA from 1 species
AUUGAACGCUGGCGGCAGGCCUAACACAUGCAAGUCGAGCGAGCGGCGGACGGGGGAAUAAUGUAUGGGGACUGUCCGAGAGAGGGGGAUAACUACUGGAAACGGUAGCUAAUACCGCAUACUACCGGAUAACACAUAUGGGAUUAGCUAGUAGGUGUGGUAAUGGCUCACCUAGGCGACGAUCCCUAGCUGGUCUGAGAGGAUGAUCAGCCACACUGGAACUGAGACACGGCCCAGACUCCUACGGAGGCAGCAGUGGGGAAUAUUGCACAAUGGGCGCAAGCCUGAUGCAGCCAUGCCGCGUGUGUGAAGAAGGCCCUAGGGUUGUAAAGUACUUUCAGUCGGGAGGCGUUACCUGCAGAAGAAGCACCGGCUAACUCCGUGCCAGCAGCCGCGGUAAUAC